rnacentral:ncRNA from 1 species
AAGCGUUGGUUGCUUAAAACAGCAGGACGGUGAGCAUGGAAGUCGAAAUCCGCUAAGGAGUGUGUAACAACUCACCUGCCGAAGCAACUAGCCCUUAAAAUGGAUGGCGCUUAA